ensembl:lncRNA
CACAAGUGUUGUCAUGACUGCAACUGCCUCUCAGACAUUCCUUCAGUACCUCUAGAGUUUACUAAUUGACCUCUAAUUCAGAGUAAACAUCAAUUUGGGAGGGAGAACAAAGAGGAUGAAGAGAUCAGAGAUGGGGAGAAGGAAGCUGGCCUUCUGUAUUGGUAUAAAAAAAGGAAGAAAUACAUUGUCCUUGGUACAGGAAUUCUCAUGCAGAGGGAAGAUUAUAUCUUAGAAUGGAUAUUUUUAGCAACAUAAACAGAGUAAGAAACUGAAAACCUACCUUGAGAAGGUCUCUGAAUUGAUACUUAAAGGAAAAUUGAGACUUCGACAAUUACUUGGAAUGGAUCCGGCUGAAAUUGUGGUACCUUUUACUAAU